rnacentral:tRNA from 1 species
GGGGAUAUAGUUCAGUGGUAAAGUAUUCGACUGCAGUUCGAGAGGUCCUCGGUUCAAGCCGGGUGUCCUCG